ensembl:lncRNA
AGUCUUCUUUGCAUAUGAGAUUUAUUUUUCUGCAGCCGUCGUGUCGUAUCAUGUUACACAAAGCGAACCGGAGAAAACGGAAACGGGGAAACUGGACGAAAUUUAUUGUUCUUUCUGAGGUUAUUUUCUUGUUACAAAAGGUGAGAACAUUUCUGAUUAUUUUUGUGUUUCAUCUUUAACACCGAGCUGUAGCUGGGCAGUGUUAUCGUUAUUGUUCGUUGUUUUAUUACUUAUAUAGGAUUCCAAAUUUGAGGAGAACAUCAAAAUAAAAUCGCAUUCAUUGUGCGAUACGUAAAAUGACUGUUUCAAAAGUAAGUCAUUAUGCAAAGUUGGAAAAUAAACAAGACAACCACAAAACUACACGUAUUAUAUCUACGCAUAAUAUUUAUACUAAUAGUUUAAUUUUUUUUUCAAAAUGUAGAUGCAAAUAAAGACUUUCGUGAUGCAUUAGUGAUAUAACCCUCUUUGACAAAUACAUUCAUUUAAAUGUAAAUCUGGGUCUAAAUUAUUUAAACUAUUCAGAAUGUUCUGGAUUUUCUCCCUUUAUUUCAAAGCAGAUUUAAACAGGCGGCGUUGCGUUCAGGGCGUAAAAACCCAAUUCAAUAACACUUUUAAAUAAUCGUCUUGGCGGGGUGAGCGAGCCACAUUCGCCAUGUUGAGAUCCUUUGUGCGCGCGUGAGAGUGUGUGUGUGUGUGUGUGUGUGUAGGUCUCGUUACCCUGACUUUUUUUCCCCCUUUACCCUAAAUAUAAAAUAUUGUGGGCUAUGGAGGAAAUGUAGAGUAUUUAAAUGUUACAACAUAUUUAAUAAAUUAAAUUAUACCGAUUUUAGUUACAAAUAACAGAACCAAUUUGCACAAACAACCGUAGAGAAUUUGACACCUUUAUAAAGAUUUAGAGGGAUUUUGUCCUAUUAUUCCACGUUGAAAUGUUUACUUUUAUAGAUUCCUCCUCUUGUUUCUUGUCGUCUGAAUCGAUGUCGGAUCUUCUUUUAAAGUCUGCACGCUCCAGAAAAAUGUCAAAUUACAGGCUGGCUCCGGUCGCAGGCCCACUUUACAUAAUUACAUACGGAGGACUAGUCUGCUCACUUUGAAGAACACGCUUUUAGUUCUACUAAUCAUCGCAGCAAGUACAACAGCGGCUCAUUAAAAUGCAAACAUAUUAUCCUUAUUAUCUUAUUCGCAGUUUUUGUAAUUCCGUUUCAACAUUUUUGACAAAAGGCCACUUUCUAUUUUUCUUCAAUCCGUUCGGGUUUUUUUUGCCGAAAAACUCGAUCGACAUUUAUUUAUUCGCAUAAUCGCAGUUUAUUAAACUGCUAUAAACACGUCUCGUAUUCGGGUGUCUGGCUGGAUUUCAGAGGCCUCGCGUUGAAGGUAACCCCCGUGCGCGCGCGCGUGUGUGUGUGUGUGUGUGUGUGUGUGUGUGUGUGUGAGAGAGCUGCGUGAUGGUGAAUUUAAUUCAAAGUGACUGCUCCAACGCGGCAGCUCUUUCUGUGGCAGCAUGAUGAGGCGAUAAUGGCGAUAAUAAUAAUAAUAAUAAUAAUAACAAUAACAAGACGCAGACAGACGGAGAACCACCGGAGUAUUAACGUCCCGAACGACGACUUCUACUUUUGAGUUUUUUACAAGUGUAAAAGAAACAUAAACGAGCUGCUCGUGUUGUCCAACUGCGCAAAUAAUCAUAAUGACGUUAAUACUAUUAUUAAUAUCAAUAUAAAUGUUUGAUUAUAAUGCUGUAUAUAUUUAUUUAAUAAUGAAUACAGCACUCUUGUCAAUACUACAAUAAUACGAGUAAAAUAUUUAAUGAAUGCAUAUGAAUUUAUAACAUUUUGAUUUAAAAAAAAAUGCAGAAUCGCUUUAAGACCUUUAACUAAAAAUGUUUGCCUUGAAAAAAAGUUACACAUCCUACUGCAAACCCUAAAUCAACAAAACGUGUAGAUAAUUACGGGGUAAAUAAUACAAUUAUGAUAUAUUUAAUAGAUAAUAUAGUUGAUGGUUUUAUUUACAGUCAUUGUUGUUGUUUUUAAACUACUUUUAACCAAAAUAGACUCACUCAUCAGAAUAGUUUGGACAGUUGUAUCUUUGUGCAAAACCUGUUUUUCACUUUUCAUAUCUAUGUGAGCAAUUCUAAUAAAAUGUUUAUCCAACUGUUUGGCCGUUUUGCAGUUUAUUCUCUCCCGACGUGUCCGAUAGUCGGCGGAGGCGUGAAAUACGCGCAAUGCUGGAUUUCUGUGUGUCGUCACAAUUAUUUAUUAAAUUAAGUCAGAAACUGACGACCAAGUAUUCUCAACUUAUUUGCAUAUGAAGCAACAUCUGUGCGUGCACGUGUAAUUUAUGUAGGUCUACCUGAAUAAGCAGAAAUAAAAAGAAAAGGCCAGACAAACAAGCUCGUGUGCGCGCGCGCGCGCGUUCCCGAGUGUAAUCCAUACGACGCAACACUGAAGAAGACUUGCCCCUGAUCACUUCUAUUGAAUAUUGG